rnacentral:rRNA from 1 species
AUUGAACGCUGGCGGCAUGCCUUACACAUGCAAGUCGAACGGUAACAGGUCCUCGGAUGCUGACGAGUGGCGAACGGGUGAGUAAUACAUCGGAACGUGCCCGAUCGUGGGGGAUAACGCAGCGAAAGCUGUGCUAAUACCGCAUACGAUCUACGGAUGAAAGCGGGGGAUCGCAAGACCUUGCGCGGACGGAGCGGCCGAUGGCAGAUUAGGUAGUUGAUGGGAUAAAAGCUUACCCAGCCGACGAUCUGUAGCUGGUCUGAGAGGACGACCAGCCACACUGGGACUGAGACACGGCCCAGACUCCUACGGGAGGCAGCAGUGGGGAAUUUUGGACAAUGGGCGAAAGCCUGAUCCAGCCAUGCCGCGUGCAGGAUGAAGGCCUUCGGGUUGUAAACUGCUUUUGUACGGAACGAAAAAGUUCUCUCUAAUACAGGGGGCGAAUGACGGUACCGUAAGAAUAAGCACCGGCUAACUACGUGCCAGCCGCCGCAGUAACAC